AUCGCUUCUCAGCCUUUUGGCUAAGAUCAAGUGUAGUAUCUGUUCUUAUCAGAUUUCCCCCUGAAGAUCAAACAUAAGACAAGAAUGUGUGCACUUACCACUU
rnacentral:snRNA from 1 species